rnacentral:rRNA from 1 species
UACGUAGGUGGCAAGCGUUGUCCGGAUUUAUUGGGUUUAAAGGGUGCGUAGGCGGCCCCGUAAGUCAGUGCUGAAAUAUCCCGGCUUAACCGGGAGGGUGGCAUUGAUACUGCAGGGCUUGAGUAAAGUUGAGGUAGGCGGAAUUGACGGUGUAGCGGUGAAAUGCUUAGAUAUCGUCAAGAACACCGAUAGUGUAGACAGCUUACUAGGCUUUAACUGACGCUGAGGCACGAAAGUGUGGGGAUCAAACAGG